rnacentral:rRNA from 1 species
UAGGGAAUCUUCGACAAUGGGGGGAACCCUGACCGAGCAACGCCGCGUGAGUGAAGAAGGUUUUCGGAUCGUAAAGCUCUGUUGUUAAGGAAGAACGAGUGUGAGAAUGGAAAGUUCAUACUGUGACGGUACUUAACCAGAAAGGGACGGCUAACUACGUGCCAGCAGCCGCGGUAAUACGUAGGUCCCGAGCGUUGUCCGGAUUUAUUGGGCGUAAAGCGAGCGCAGGCGGUUAGAUAAGUCUGAAGUUAAAGGCAGUGGCUCAACCAUUGUAGGCUUUGGAAACUGUUUAACUUGAGUGCAGAAGGGGAGAGUGGAAUUCCAUGUGUAGCGGUGAAAUGCGUAGAUAUAUGGAGGAACACCGGUGGCGAAAGCGGCUCUCUGGUCUGUAACUGACGCUGAGGCUCGAAAGCGUGGGUAGCGAACAGG